rnacentral:rRNA from 1 species
GGAACGAUAACGGCGUCGAGCGGCGGACGGGUGAGUAAUGCCUAGGAAAUUGCCCUGAUGUGGGGGAUAACCAUUGGAAACGAUGGCUAAUACCGCAUGAUGCCUACGGGCCAAAGAGGGGGACCUUCGGGCCUCUCGCGUCAGGAUAUGCCUAGGUGGGAUUAGCUAGUUGGUGAGGUAAGGGCUCACCAAGGCGACGAUCCCUAGCUGGUCUGAGAGGAUGAUCAGCCACACUGGAACUGAGACACGGUCCAGACUCCUACGGGAGGCAGCAGUGGGGAAUAUUGCACAAUGGGCGCAAGCCUGAUGCAGCCAUGCCGCGUGUGUGAAGAAGGCCUUCGGGUUGUAAAGCACUUUCAGUCGUGAGGAAGGUGGUGUAGUUAAUAGCUGCAUUAUUUGACGUUAGCGACAGAAGAAGCACCGGCUAACUCCGUGCCAGCA